ACGGGGAGCAGCAGGCGCGAAACCUUUACACUGCACGACAGUGCGAUAAGGGGAUCCCGAGUGCGAGGGCAUACAGUCCUCGCUUUUCGUGACCGUAAGGUGGUCUCAGAAUAAGGGCUGGGCAAGACCGGUGCCGGCCGCCGCGGUAAUACCGGCAGCCCGAGUGAUAGCCACUCUUAUUGGGCCUAAAGCGUCCGUAGCUGGCCGAACGGGUCCGUCGGGAAAUCCACCCGCUCAACGGGUGGGCGUCCGGCGGAAACCAGUCGGCUUGGGACCGGGGGACCUGCGGGGUACGUCUGGGGUAGGAGUGAAAUCCUGUAAUCCCAGACGGACCACCGGUGGCGAAAGCGCCGCAGGAGGACGGAUCCGACAGUGAGGGACGAAAGCUUGGGUCUCGAACCGGAUUAGAUACCCGGGUAGUCCAAGCCGUAAACGAUGCUCGCUAGGUGUGGCGCAGGCUACGAGCCUGACGCUGUGCCGUAGGGAAGCCGAGAAGCGAGCCGCCUGGGAAGUACKUCCGCAAGGAUGAAACUUAAAGGAAUUGGCGGGGGAGCAC
rnacentral:rRNA from 1 species